GGUAGGUUGCUUUUGUAUCUUGGCCAUUGUAAAUAACGCUGCUGUGAACACUAAGGUACAUGUAUCUUUUCAAAUUACUGUUUUUGUCUUCUUGGAUAUAUACCCAGGAGUAGAAUUGCUGGAUCAUAUGGUGGAUUUAUUUUUAAUUUUUUGAGGAGCCUCCAUAUUGUCGUCCAUAGUGGCUGCGUCAAUUUACAAUCCCACCCAUAGUGAAUUGGGGUUCUCUUUUCUUCUUUUGUCACCUUUUUUGACAAAAGCCAUUCUGACAGGGUUGAAGUGAUAGCUCACUGUAGUUUUUAUUUAUGUUUUUCUAAUAAUUAGUGAUGCUGAGCAUCUUGUCAUGUGCUUGGUGGCCAUCUGUAUGUCUCCUUUGGAAAAAAUGUCUAUUCCAGUCCUCUGCUCAUUUUUUUACCAAGUUAUUUUUUGAGCUUUUUGUACAUUUUGGAUAUGUUGAGCUCUUUACGUAUUUUGGAUAUGUUGAGUUUGAUGAUUCUUUCUAUAUUCUGUAUACAAGUCCUUUGUCAGAUACAUAAUUUGCAAAACAUUUUCUUCCAGCCUGUAGCUUGUCUUUUCAUUUUCAUAACAGUGUUUGUAGCUUUACAAAACUUUAUAAAUUUGAUGAAAUUCAGUAUCUUAUUUUUUUCCCUUAUGAGUUAUGCUUCUAGUGUCCUGAGAACUCAUUGCCUAAACCAAGGUCACAGAGCUUUUCCCCUAGGCUUUCUUCUGUAAGUUUUAAUAAUCUUCUGUUUAGAUGUGAUAUUCAUUUUGUUUUUAUUUUAUUUUAUUAUUUAUUUAUUUAUUUAUUUAUUUUUGCUUUUUAGGCCCGCACCUGCGGUAUAUAGAGAUUCCCAGGCCGGCGGCUACAGCUCCAAUGAGACCCCUCGCCUGGGAACCUCCAUAUGCCUCGGGAGCGGCCCUAGAAAAAGGCAAAAAGACUAAAUAAAUAAAUAAAAUGGACACGAUUAUAGGUCCUCCCUCUUGGGGUUGCUAAGAGGACUGAGUGACACUAAUGCAUUUAAAGUUCUUACUAACCAACAGGGACCUACUGCAGAGCACAGGGAACUAUACUCAAUAUUCUGUGAUAACCUAUGAGAAAAGGAGCUGAAAAAGAAUAUACAUGUAACUGAAUCGCUGUGCUUUACACCAGAAACUAGCACAACCCUGCACAUCACCUAUACUUCAAUAAAAUCCAUGUAUAAUAAUAAUAAGUAACAGUACCAUAGAAAUAUUUUAAAAAUUAAGUCCUUGCUGCACAGUCAGGCACAUAGUUGUACUCUGAAAGGCAAGGGUGCAAGAGUAUUUGUAUUGUGAAAGAGAGUUGAAUUUUGUCAAUACUUUAUCUGUCUUACUUGAGAUGGUCUUUUUCUUUUCCCCUUCAUUCCGUUAUUGUAAUGUAAAUGUAGUACAUCAAUCAAUUUUUAUAUAUUGAGCCAUCCUUGCAUUUCAGGAAUAAAUUGUUUUUGGUCAUGGCAUAUAAUCCUUUUAAUAUGCUGCUAAAUUUGGUUGCUAGGGUUUUGUUGAGGAUUUUGGCAUCAGUAUUCUGCAGGGAUUUGCAUAUAGUUUUUAUUUUGUUUCUGUAGUGUCUUGGGUCUGGCUUUGCAUCAGGACAAUGCCAGCCUCAUAGGAUGAGCUCCCGCCUCUUCCAGUUUUUGGAAAAGUUUGGGAAGGGUUGGCAUUAGUUUUUUUAAAUGUUUGGCAGAAUCCACCAGUGACGCUCUCAGGUCCAGGCGUUCCCUUUGUCAAGGAAUUUUUGAUGACCGAUUCAUUCUCCUUACUAGUUAUAUAUCUGUUUGGAUUUUCUAUUUCUUUCAUGCAUCAGUCUUGGUAGGUUUUUGUUUUUAAGAAUUUGUUCAUUUCAUCUGGGCUCUCUAGUUGGUUGGCAUGCAGUUGUGUAUAGCACUGUUAAAAUCCUUUUUAUUUCUUAAAAUCCGUAAUAAUGCCCAUAUUUUCAUCUCCGAUUUUAGUGAUUUGAGUCUUUUUUUUUUUUUCUUAGUCCAUCCAGCUAAAGGCUUGUCAAUUCUGUUGAUCUUUACAAAGAACCAACUUCUGAUUUCAUUCAUUUUCUGUCUUGCUUUUCUAUUCUCUACUUUGUUUCUCUCUGCUCUCAUCCUUAUUUUCUUCCUCCUGCUACCUUUGGGUUUCAUUUGUUCUGUUUCUAGUUCCUGAAGUCAUGAAAUUAGAGUUCUGAUUUUACGUCUUUCUACUUUUUGGAUAUAAACAUUUAUAGCCAUAAAUUUUCCCUCAGCACUGCUUUCACUGCAUCCCGUGGGUCUGGGUAUGUUGCGAUGUUGUUUUCCUUCCUCUUAAAGUAUUUUCUCAUUUCCCGGGUGAUGGCUUCUUUGAUCCAAUUGUUGUUUAAGAAUGUGUUUCAUUUCCGGAGUUCCCGUCGUGGCGCAGUGGUUAACGAAUCCGACUGGGAACCAUGAGGUUGCAGGUUCGAUCCCUGCCCUUGCUCAGUGGGUUAACGAUCCAGCGUUGCCGUGAGCUGUGGUGUAGGUUUCAGACGCGGCUUGGAUCCCGCGUUGCUGUGGCUCUGGCGUAGGCCGGUGGCUACAGCUCCGAUUCAACCCCUAGCCUGGGAACCUCCCGCAUAUGCCGCGGGAGCAGCCCAAGAAAUAGCAACAAUAACAACAACAACAACAAAAAAAGAAAAAAAAAAAAAAAA
rnacentral:lncRNA from 1 species